GGCAUCAAAACAGUGUAUCUGAGUUGCUUGAGAAAUAGCAACAAUUCGAGAGCUGCACCUCACAGAAUAAACAACUGAUCUGAGCUUCAGCGUAUGAAUGUAAGAUUGUGAUCUCUUGUGAUCUCAGGGAAUAAAACCGAACAAUGGUGGGCAUGAAACUACCAUCAUGCAGAUCAUGGUGGCUAGUGGUGCCCCCAUUGUGUAGUUUAGCUAACCCAUCUUGAACGGUGC
rnacentral:misc_RNA from 1 species